AUGCUUACUUUGGCAGCACAUAUACUAAAAUUGGAAUGAUACAGAGAAGAUUAGAAUGGACCCUGUUCAAGGAUGAAACUCAAAUUCAUGAAAUGCUCCAAAUAUUU